UACAGAGGUGCCAAGCGUUAUGCGGAAUUACUGGGCGUAAAGGGCGCGUAGGCGGCCUUCUAAGUCAGACGUGAAAUCCCCCGGCUUAACCUGGGAACUGCGUCUGAUACUGGGAGGCUUGAGUAUGGGAGAGGGAUGUAGAAUUCCAGGUGUAGCGGUGAAAUGCGUAGAUAUCUGGAGGAACACCGGUGGCGAAGGCGGCAUCCUGGACCAUAACUGACGCUGAGGCGCGAAAGCUAGGGGAGCAAACGGG
rnacentral:rRNA from 1 species